CUAGCAAGUAAAAAGAGGCAAUUAGGGGUAGCAAGGACAAAUGAUAGCAAACAUCUGAUGCAAGAGAGAAGAUCAAAGAGCAUAAAAAGCAGAUAAGCGCACUGACUCCUUAAGCGAUGUACACAGGACAACCUGGCCUUCGUGAAUCCACAGGUCGUGAGGCAUCUCGGCAUUUCAUGAGAGCCCAGGCACAGAUGCACCUAUCAGUGGCCUUGGUACAUGGAGAUAGAUAAAGUAGACUCUGUCUAGUCUACGUAAAGAGGAAAGUUGAAUGAGCGGUAAAUUUUGAAGGACUUCUUUCUGAAGGAUUACACUUUCAAAAAGCUCUGAUACUUAAAUCAACAUUUGUUCUGGGUGAAAAACUCAGUACCUCAUAACUAUCACUUCCUGAGCUCUGUUCUAUGUCAUGAGCUGUAUACAUAUUCCUCUACCUCCAAGAGAAAGACCAUUAUUCUUACUAAAUUGAGAUUCAGAAAAGUUAAGACAUUUUCUGAAAGUCACACAUCUGGUGCCCGAUUGAUCCAAGACACAAACUCUUGACUUUCUGAUUCCAAAAUCCAUGUUGUGUCUUUAUGCCACACGGCUUUAUUUAUCCAAGAGUCACCUUUCUAAGGGUUACUAAAAUAAGGAAGCUUUUCUUUAUGUGUAUUUCAGAAAAUUAAUAGAAAAGGGUUUAAGUAUAUAACCCAGAGUUAUCAGCAUCUUGAUUUACAUAUUUGCCUCAGAGAAUAAUUAAAUAUCCAGGUUGCUACUGUGUUUAAUUUGUACCUACCAUAUGCCCUGGUGCCCUGUGGAGGGAUGCACGAAGAAGUCUUUCAGCUGACUGCUGAGUUCCCCAGAUUCAAACACUGCUGGGAGACUGGGGCAGGCUCACAACACAACUUCUGGAGGUCAGCCUGGCAGUGAAUGAGGGAGAAUAUCCUGUCUGAUCUCAACACAAAAAUGGAGGUUGCAUCACAUGGGCAUAUUUACUUGACAAAUGAAAAGACCCCAGAGCUUAGUUCCAGAAAAGCAGUUUCUAGAAAGAGCUGGUAUAGAAAGAAAGCUCUGAGUAAAGCCAGCAGCAUCCUCUGGAGGAGUGAGCAAGGCCAGAUCCCUGGAGGCCACACAUACCUUCAUCAACGUAUGCCCAGACAUACAUUUAUAAAGAGCAGGGCUAGAACUAAGAGGGAGCCAAAAACUCAGAAAUCAAGAUAAAUAACAUUUUAAUGCAAUACUAUAAAAAACAAAAGUUGAAGCAAGAAAGUUCAUGAUAAACAAAAUAUCAUAAGUUUAAAUAAAACAGGAUUAGUGUUACUGUUUUUUCCUUUUGCUUCAGGAUCCGAUACGGCUUGGCACGACACCAUCAGAGAGUUAACAUAAAUGUUUAAAAAAGAAAAGGGAGAAUGAGUACAUUGUUGUAGAAAGAUAGUGAUUUGGGAGAUCAUUUUAAGCUACAAGUUUCACUAGAUGGAGGAAACAAGAAUUACCUUCCUGGAGUCUUGUUAAGUCUGGGAGGGAACUGCAGCAUGAGAGAGUAACUCUCAACUUUAGCUCUGCUCAAAAUAUCCCCGGUGAGAGGCGUGGCCAAGGAAAGUAACCAAAAAGUACUAUUAAAUUGCAGAGCCCAUCAAUGCUGGGCUUGGCCAUGUGACUUACUUUGACCAGUGGAACAAGGGCAGGACAAAAGUGUGACAGUGCUGAGCCGAGACCUUAAGAGACAUCACAUAUCCACUCACUUUCCUUGUAAUUCUGUCAUUCCCAUGAAGAGAACAUUGCCAUGAAGAGACCAGUGACCUGCUGGUCCCAAAAGAAUGAGAGUCACAUGAACCCAACAUAAACUAAACCCAUGGCUUGAAGCCAAGCGCAGCCAACCAUGCUGGGAUCCUCAGGGAUGCCCAGCCAUCGUCAGAGAUGCAUGAGAAGACAAUGCUUAUUGUUGUGGGAUUUUUGUGAUUGUUUGUUACACAGCAAUAGCUGACUGGUACAUUGUCAAUAACCCAAAACAUUCAGUAGCUUCUUAAAUUUUUGCAUAGAUCAGUGAUUCUCAGUGUUGCAUGCACAAGAGAAUUGCCUUGAUAGUUUUUUAAAAAUAUGAGUGCCCAGGCCCCCACCUUAGGCUGCUUGUUUCAGAAUCUGUAGUGGUAGUUCUUGGGCAUGAGAUAUUUUUUCAAACUCCCUCAGGUAAUUUUAGAUGUGCAGCCAGGAUGAUAACAUUGUAGAUAAAGAUACAAAAACAUUUUCAUCAACAUGAAGAAAUACGUCUGCAUCUCCUUUUCUGUGGCUGAGCUAACCUUCUCCUCUAUUGGAGAAAAGCAGGCCUGGUGGGAAUCAAACAGUACCAAGGAUGGCCAUGAAGUGAGGUGACUAAUAUGCCUGGUGAGGUGUUAGAACUGGAAGGUUAUACUAGAAUUUAUAUGCUAUGAAAAUAUUGUGGGGAUAGCAAGUCUAAACAGGUUCAUCAAUAAAACAGAAUACAGAAUGGAAGUUAAAGUGAACAAUCAAACUAAGGAGGAGAAAAAGGUGGUUGAUGAAACAGAGAAAUCAAGAACGAGGGGUAGAAAAGCAAAAAUUGGUUAGAAGUUUGCUACGGGUUCCAAUAGCAUUGGAAUCACAUAGAAAAUGUAGAAUUUCAGGCCCCAUCCCAGAUCUCCUUAAUCAGAACCUGCAUUUUAAUGAGCUCUCCAGGCCAUCUGUAUGUAUAUUCAGGUUAGAGAUGCACUAGCUUAGAAGAUUCCAGAAAAUGAAGUGCAUGCACCUCUAGAUGAUAUUAAUAUUCUUCCACUGUGUGAUUGUAUGGCCAGCCCAGGUACACUUACAGGACCUGAGACAGGACAUAAAAUGGCAGGUGUGCAUACAUUCAAUUAAUCCACUAGCUUUUCCUAGUAUGUAAAUUUCACAUUUAAAAAAAUCAGAGUUAAGACACC
ensembl:lncRNA